AGAUUUUUUCUGAAGAGAUAAGUGUUAAUAUUAACAACUAUGAUUUAAAGAAAUAUUGACAAUGUGUCAACAUUUGGAAGAUCGGCCUAACUCAGCUAAUCAGGAUUUUCCAAGUGAUCGAGCGUGAUGUUAUAAAAUCAUGCAUUGUUAGAAGAUCCAUUCGAAGUACAAAGUAGGCCAGUAAAUUUUAAUGUAAAAACGUAUAAAGUUCAUUGACAUGGGUUUAGAUUCCGUUUUACAAUUAAUACAUACUUUGCACUUGUUGGGUUUUAGUAUAGUUUCAAAGAAAAAUGUCCACAAUUAUUCAAAAGGACUAUUAAAAUAUUCCUCCAUCUUCCAAGUGCAUGUCUUUGAGAGGCUGGAUUGUCUUCCUAUACUUAAAACAAAACUACAUGCUUCAGCAGAUCAAAUGCAGAAACAUUUGCAGCACCCACAUCUGUCCAUUAGGUGGGUGCAAAAGUAAUCGCGGUUUUUGUCAUUACUUUUAAUGGUAAAAACUGGAAUUACUUUUGCACUGACCUAAUAUUAAGCCAGAUAUUAAAGAGAUUACAAAUACAUAAAACAAUGUCACUCUUCUCAUUACUAUUUGUUUUAGAAAAUAUAACUACUUUAAAAAAAUGUUACUUCUACUACAGCCUGGGUAACACAGUGAGACCUCAUCUCUAAAAAAAAGAAAAUAAAAAUAGUUAUUCCUAUUAAUAUGUAGUGGGUUUAUUAUUGUUGCUUAAAAACUAAAUGAAUGUUUUUACAUUUCUGAGUUUUAAUUUAGUUAUCAAUGGAUAUAAUUCAUAUAAACAAAAGCUCUCUGGGGUCCUUGAUUUUUUAGCAUAAGGGGAAAUCUAAUAUUUUUACAAUACUGAGUCUUCAUUACUGAGUGGGAAUUAUUGAUCCACCAUUUAACAGCUGUGUCAUCUUGCACUCUCCUGUACUUCACUGUAGAUGUCAAAUCACUUGCCCCAGGUCUCACAGCUGGCGAGUAGUGUAAUCUUCUUUUGAGUACCAUAUUAAUUGCUUGCCUGUAUCAAUUUGAUGGCAAGAAAAAAAAGCAGCUCUCUAUUACCCUUAGCAUACAAUCACGUUUUUUUGUUGUUGUUGUUUUUUAUUAUAGAAAUGCUACUUCAAAAACAAAGACUGAAAAAACCUAGCAACAGAUGGUUAACAUGCAAACCAUUGUAACUGAAUCCACAGGACACUGUUUUUUUAUUUUUUAUUUUUUUUAAUUUUUUUGAGACGGAGUCUCACUCUGUCACCCAGGCUGGAGUGCAGUGGCGCGAUCUCGGCUCACUGCAAGCUCUGCCUCCCAGGUUCACUCCAUUCUCCUGCCUCAGCCUCCCGACUAGCUGGGACUACAGGCGCCCACCAACACACCC
rnacentral:lncRNA from 1 species